rnacentral:lncRNA from 1 species
GGAGCCAAGAGUCGCAGGAGAAACAGACACGUUCAGGACAUAGUGUGACUUCAGCUGGGAAGAUGGGUUUGGAGACUUCUGCUCUUUUAGCUCACUAGAGAGAUGGGGUGGGGGCAAGUCAAGGACUGGAUCUCACUAGAGGAGGGGCCAGCCUAGAAGGACUGGUGCCACCUCCUGGGCAGUAUGAAUGUGAAAACACUGCUGUGGUCCAACAAUUAAUGAGCACUUGCCAUAAUCCAGGCCGUGUGCUAAGCACCAAAUGCCUCACAUGGGUCACCUCCUGCAAUCUUCAACGACUUGAGCUGAUGUUUUCACCCUUCUCCAGGUGAGGGAACUGAGGUUCAGAGAGGUGAAGUCCCUUGCCGAAAGUCUCGCCGGGAGCAAGUGACAGCCUUAGGACUUGAACUCAGGAACCCCACGGCUCUAAAGUGUCCCCCCUUCCCAUAUAUCCCUGUGGCUUCUGACCACAAACACUGGAUUUGUGGACAUAUGUCAAACAUUUGGGACAUAAAUGACUGACAGACACCCAGGCAGAUCAGCCACAGCAGUUCUGACGCCCAAUCUUUGAUAAGCACAAUUGUUGGGUGGCCUCAUUUAUUGCCCUCACCCUGAUAUUCAGCCACAGCUCCCACAGUGCCCUUCCCCUCUCUGGCCUUCCAUUUCUGGCCUGUCCAGAAGGGACCCCAUCAAGAAGAUGAGCAGUUCGAGCAUCUCGAAAGGAACUCAGGCUGUGGGCCACAGUGCUUGGCCUCAGUGACAACAUGGCUUGUAUGUGCUUGGGGCUGGCAGUGGGAGUGGAGGUGGGGCCAGGCAUGCAAACACUAUGCUAACAAUAAGCACUUAUUAAGCAACUAUGGUGUCCUAGGUGCUGAGCAGUGUACUGGCCACGCAUUGCCUCGUUUCACCCUCAUGCCACCCUAUGAAGGAAGAGCUACCGCUAGCUCCAUUUUACAGACAAGGGAAACCAAGACACAGAGAGCAUAAGUUAAAUUCCAGAAGGCCCACAGGAGGAAUCUGUGGCCUGGGAACUCUUCAAGAAAUGCUGACAUGAAGUUUGAGAAGUGCUGGUUCAGAGAGGCUUGAAAAAGCACCUGGGCUUUAUUUGGAAGCGGAGCAGCAGCUGAUGCCUCCCUAAAUGUUCUGCAGAUCCCAGAGCAAAGACCUCUGAGUCUACCGCCCCACCCUGCCCAGCCACGGCUCACUCCUGCGGUGGGCUCUGCCAGAGGAGGAAGAGUGGGACCCUCAAGCUCUCUCUGGGUCCUCAGCUCCAGAGAGAGCGUUUUGUGAUAGUACCAAGCACUGCAACAGAAUACGCUCACUUAAGCUUCCACUGAGAGCCCGUCCUGGGCCCUGGGAAACCGCAGUAAACAAAACAGACUCAAUUCCUGCCCUCACACAGCUUACUUUCUGGUGGAGGAGAGAGACACUAAACGAAAUAGUCUCGACUUUCUCUGCUCUUCAGUGUACAGGAUGGAAAACACGGAUGCAGUGGCUUCAGGUUUUUAUAUGAAAGUAACAUCAGCCAUUCAGAGAGAGUCUGACUUGACAUCGUGCCACAUUCAAAAUUCUCAGGAUGAAAAUGGAAAGGGGACUUCCUCUCAAGACUUGACCAAAGGGCUGAGCUGAAUAAGGCAGGAUUUCAGAUCCAGCUCCAUGUAUAUGUCUGUGAAGAUCAGAGAAAGACAUUGUCUAGGUCUUUGAAGAG